rnacentral:lncRNA from 1 species
CAUAAAGUGGUUAAUAAAUUUUUAUUUGUUGCAAGCUUAGAAGAAAAAAUAUGACAAAAAUUAUUAAAUUUGUUUAUUUAUUAAUCCUCUUUAUUUUCUUAUUUCUCGUUUUACCGGAAGCUAGUGCAGGUAAACCAUUUUUUUUCACCCUUUUGAACUUUCUUGUUUAUCUUAUACAAAAUCUUUCACUCGGUAAUAUUUGUUUCUUCUCUUUUAUAUCACAGCAAUAGCAAGGUCAAUAAGAUGUAAAGAAGAUUUUCAAUGUCUAUUCUAUAUAUGUACAGCUCCUUAUGUUGGAAAAUGCGUUGAUCGCAGAUGUUAUUGUCGUCCUCCAUUAGAAGAUUGGUAAGAGAUUGAUAUUGCAACCUCAAAAGACGAAGUUUAAAUCUCAAUUGAGACAGAUGUAAAAUGAUCAUUAGAAUCACCGUUAUUUAUAAUAAAUUUAUCUUUCCCAAUAUUUUAUUUAAAUGUUUUUUUUCCUAUCAUGACAAUAAAAACAAUGUCACCAUAUGAUUAUAUUAUGUAUGUAUGNNN